rfam:Cryptosporidium parvum Iowa II chromosome 8, whole genome shotgun sequence.
GGGCUGAUAGUAUAGUGGUACUACGUUUCGUUCGCAUCGAAAAGAUCACGGGUUCGAUUCCCGUUCAGUCCA